ensembl:antisense Tbx3os1 T-box 3, opposite strand 1
GGCUGCUGAUUUAUUGGCCAGCCCAGUGUAUGGCCGGCAAGUUUCUCCUCAGACUCGGUUUCCACCCCCUAUCUGGUAAAAUAUAGAGGAUUUUUAUAACUAUGGACACCUCCUCCUAUAGACUAAACCUCUAGAGAACCAUUGUACAAACUGGGUGGAAGCAGAAAAGUGGCUGUCUGAGGAGAGGGGGCCUCUGAGACGAUAUCUCAGCUCUGUUAGUCAUUAAUCACCCCACCACCAUCAUCAUCAUCAUCAUCGUGUUUGAGACAUGGUCUCAGUCCAGUCCAGACAGACCUCCAUCUGACUACUCUCCUGAAUGCCUAAGGCCCAGCAUACACCACUACCUUCCGGGCUCUCGUUCUGUAAGAGAUGAAGAAUGACGUGUGGUGAGACAUCCCUCACUGGAUAGAUGGAGGCUAGAGGCUCACAGGCAAAGGUCAUCUGUGGUUGCAGAUGUCUGUCCCUCAGCAGGAUUCACUCAGAUGUCCUCAAAGAUCCUCCAGACUAGGAAGAAGAUAAAGCUGAAACCAGAAGAAAGAGUUGCUAAUAGCCCAUGGAUGGACUAAUCCUUUAACCCUGGAGUCAUUCUGGGAGUGGAGAGCUGGGCAAAAUAAAGCAAAUAAUAAAAUACAGGAGGGCCCCUGGCCCGGGGCGGUGGGGGUGAUGGGAGUUGGAGUCACUUGCCUGUCAGGACCUAUAUCAACAUGUCAGCCGCUUGGACAAACAAGCGUUUCGAGGGGAAAUAUUUCAGAUAAACAGACACGAUGUUAUGACAUAUCACCCCCCCAACCCUGGAAGGGGGUCCUCGGAGACCAAGGAGAAGAAGAAAGGAAGCAACGCCAUGCGGAGAUCUGUUUUCCCUGGCUUGAGGCCCCGAGGGUCAGCUGUAAAUAAAAUAGGUUUUUGAUU